UACAGAGGUCUCAAGCGUUGUUCGGAUUCAUUGGGCGUAAAGGGUGUGUAGGUGGCGCCGUAAGUCAGGUGUGAAAUUUCGGAGCUCAACUCCGAAACUGCAUUUGAUACUGCGGUGCUUGAGGACUGGAGAGGAGACUGGAAUUUACGGUGUAGCAGUGAAAUGCGUAGAUAUCGAGAGGAACACCUGCGGCGAAGGCGGGUCUCUGGACAGUUCCUGACACUGAGGCACGAAGGCCAGGGGAGCAAACGGG
rnacentral:rRNA from 1 species